UGAAGAGUUUGAUCAUGGCUCAGAUUGAACGCUGGCGGCAGGCCUAACACAUGCAAGUCGAACGGUAACAGGAAGCAGCUUGCUGCUUUGCUGACGAGUGGCGGACGGGUGAGUAAUGUCUGGGAAACUGCCUGAUGGAGGGGGAUAACUACUGGAAACGGUGGCUAAUACCGCAUAACGUCGCAAGACCAAAGAGGGGGACCUUCGGGCCUCUUGCCAUCAGAUGUGCCCAGAUGGGAUUAGCUUGUUGGUGAGGUAACGGCUCACCAAGGCGACGAUCCCUAGCUGGUCUGAGAGGAUGACCAGCCACACUGGAACUGAGACACGGUCCAGACUCCUACGGGAGGCAGCAGUGGGGAAUAUUGCACAAUGGGCGCAAGCCUGAUGCAGCCAUGCCGCGUGUAUGAAGAAGGCCUUCGGGUUGUAAAGUACUUUCAGCGGGGAGGAAGGUGUUGUGGUUAAUAACCGCAGCAAUUGACGUUACCCGCAGAAGAAGCACCGGCUAACUCCGUGCCAGCAGCCGCGGUAAUACGGAGGGUGCAAGCGUUAAUCGGAAUUACUGGGCGUAAAGCGCACGCAGGCGGUCUGUCAAGUCGGAUGUGAAAUCCCCGGGCUCAACCUGGGAACUGCAUUCGAAACUGGCAGGCUUGAGUCUUGUAGAGGGGGGUAGAAUUCCAGGUGUAGCGGUGAAAUGCGUAGAGAUCUGGAGGAAUACCGGUGGCGAAGGCGGCCCCCUGGACAAAGACUGACGCUCAGGUGCGAAAGCGUGGGGAGCAAACAGGAUUAGAUACCCUGGUAGUCCACGCCGUAAACGAUGUCUACUUGGAGGUUGUGCCCUUGAGGCGUGGCUUCCGGAGCUAACGCGUUAAGUAGACCGCCUGGGGAGUACGGCCGCAAGGUUAAAACUCAAAUGAAUUGACGGGGGCCCGCACAAGCGGUGGAGCAUGUGGUUUAAUUCGAUGCAACGCGAAGAACCUUACCUGGUCUUGACAUCCACGGAAGUUUUCAGAGAUGAGAAUGUGCCUUCGGGAACCGUGAGACAGGUGCUGCAUGGCUGUCGUCAGCUCGUGUUGUGAAAUGUUGGGUUAAGUCCCGCAACGAGCGCAACCCUUAUCCUUUGUUGCCAGCGGUCCGGCCGGGAACUCAAAGGAGACUGCCAGUGAUAAACUGGAGGAAGGUGGGGAUGACGUCAAGUCAUCAUGGCCCUUACGACCAGGGCUACACACGUGCUACAAUGGCGCAUACAAAGAGAAGCGACCUCGCGAGAGCAAGCGGAUCUCAUAAAGUGCGUCGUAGUCCGGAUUGGAGUCUGCAACUCGACUCCAUGAAGUCGGAAUCGCUAGUAAUCGUGGAUCAG
rnacentral:rRNA from 1 species